GAUGAACGCUGGCGGCGUGCCUAAUACAUGCAAGUCGAGCGAACAGACGAGGAGCUUGCUCCUCUGACGUUAGCGGCGGACGGGUGAGUAACACGUGGAUAACCUACCUAUAAGACUGGGAUAACUUCGGGAAACCGGAGCUAAUACCGGAUAAUAUAUUGAACCGCAUGGUUCAAUAGUGAAAGACGGUUUUGCUGUCACUUAUAGAUGGAUCCGCGCCGCAUUAGCUAGUUGGUAAGGUAACGGCUUACCAAGGCAACGAUGCGUAGCCGACCUGAGAGGGUGAUCGGCCACACUGGAACGGAGACACGGUCCCGACUCCUACGGGAGGCAGCAGUAGGGAAUCUUCCGCAAUGGGCGAAAGCCUGACGGAGCAACGCCGCGUGAGUGAUGAAGGUCUUCGGAUCGUAAAACUCUGUUAUUAGGGAAGAACAAAUGUGUAAGUAACUAUGCACGUCUUGACGGUACCUAAUCAGAAAGCCACGGCUAACUACGUG
rnacentral:rRNA from 1 species